UGGAACCGGAAGUCAAGUACGUGGGGAACAUGCACGGGAACGAGGUGCUGGGCCGCGAACUGCUGCUGCAGCUGUCGGAAUUCCUCUGCGAGGAGUUCCGGAACCGGAACCAGCGCAUCCUGCGCCUCAUCCAGGACACCCGCAUUCACAUCCUUCCAUCCAUGAACCCUGACGGCUACGAGGUGGCUGCUGCCCAGGAGCCCCACUCCCUCCCGCCAGCCAUGGCCAUCGCUCUCCAGUCAGCUGCAGGAGUC
rnacentral:lncRNA from 1 species